GGCUGGUCUAAAGGUAGUGAGUUAUUUCAAUUGACUGUUCACAGUCAGUUACAGAUGAAACUUUGUGUUCUGUUCUUUCACCCUUCCUCCCUAUUGCACUUGACUAGUUCUGG
ensembl:misc_RNA Y_RNA Y RNA